GGAGCUGAGCGCCGGCUGCCCUGACGUCAGCAUGGCCGCGGCCCCUGACUACCCAGCUCCCUUCUAUCCCUCGAGCGGCAGGAAUCCGUCCCCACGCCCUUUUCCUUUAAAGGGCAACGGGCCGAAGGUGGGGCGGGCGGCGCGGCUCCCGCGAUCCAUUCAGGUCAAAAGGGAGAGUGAUCAAACAGGAGAGCCGAGGGGACCUAUAUUCAGAGACUUAACCGGACACCUGGACAGACCAUUACAACUUGGGACUUUUCAGGAGAAUGAGGGAAAUGUAGUUAUUGCACCUGAGCCUCACUCCAGCUCUGAGGUCCUCUUCACUUCUCUUUGGAAGAAAAUUGGAUAUCUUUUCCUAGUUGAAAGAGUAGAGAUCUGAUUUCUCCAAGGAUCAUCGCUUUUUGACACGGGAUUAUUAGAAGCAUUCAUUCAUCUAUCAAGGAGUUUUGGGAUACUUGCCAUAAGCCAAGCCCUCUGAUAGGUGCUGGAAACAUCAAGCUCUGUGCCCAGGAAGUUCAUCCUUGGACUGCACGCAUGAACGAGUUUGCUGUCUUCCCAUUGGAUUCAGCCAGUCCGCGGUCCUGGAGCAAAUUCAGGACCUGACACAUAAGAACUGGUGGAGAAUUACCUGCAGAAUAGAUGCUGAAUCUUUGUGCCUCUCUGCUCUCCAAGAAGAUGGCAUGCUCCUUGAUGACAAGAGCCACCUCUGAUCUCCCCCAUCCAGUCAAAAUCUUCCAGAAAACAGACCAUCAAUAUGGAUUUGCAGCAUGUAUUGUGAUUGUUUAACAUAAUUUUCCAACAGCCAAUUAUGUGUGGCCACUAUACGUAGAUAUUUCUUUAGCUCAUAUUUUAAUACCUGUCCUGUCAUUCUACAUUACAUAUGUGGAAGACCUUUAACCCAGUUUAGUUUAUAUAUAAUAAGUACAAAAGGGAAAAAAGAAAGCUUCCUUUUUUCACCUCUUUGGGGACUUCUUCAGUCUUUUUCCAGAUGUGGAAUCCAGAUCGUGUUAUUUUCUUUCCAGACUGGGCCUAGGAGCAAUACGUUAAGAGUCAGCAAAGCCUCAAGAAUCAUCCAGCUCUUCAGCAAAGCCUCAAGAAUCAUCCAGCUCUUUUCUCCUCUUCAAAGUUGCCCUUCUUUUCUCUGAACAUUAAUGUAUCUCUCUGUAUCACUUAUCCAUUGCUGUGCAGCAAACUACCUCAAAACCUAGCACUUUCAGUCAGCAAACACUUAUCAGUUUACAGAGUUUCUGAGAUCAGAAGUCAAGGAGUGGUUCACGUCGGUGGUUCUGGCUCAGUCUCUCAUGGGGCUGCAGUGGAGGUGCAGAAUCUGACGGGGCUGACGAUUCACUUCCAAGCUCACCUCACUGGUGCGGCUGUUUUCAGGACAACUCAGCUCCCUGCCACAUGGGCCUCUCCAUAGAAAGCUUAUAACACAGCAGCUGGCUUCCCCCAGAGUAAGUGAUUCAAGAGAGCAAGCCACCAAGGCUGGGUGCGGUGGCUCACACCUGUAAUCCCAGCACUUUGGGAGGCGGAGGUGGAUGGAUCACCUGAGGUCAGGAGUGUGAGACCAGCCUGGCCAACAGAGCGAAACCCUGUCUCUGGGAAAAAUACAAAAAUUAGCCAGGCAUGAUGUGAUGGUGGGCGCCUGUGAUCCCAGCUACUCUGGAGGCUGAGGCAAGAGAAUUGCUUGAUCCUGGGGGGCAGAGGUUGCAGUGAGCUGAGAUAAAAAAGAGAGAGCAAGCCACCAAAUGGGAGCCACACACCCUUUUAUAAUCUGGUCUCUGAAGUCAUCCAUUGUAUCCUAUUCUGUAGAAGUAAAUCACUAAGUCCAGUCCCGGAAGGGCAAUUAGACUCUAUCUCUUGAAGGAAGAAGUAUGAAUUUUUGCAUGGACAGUCAUGCACUGCCUAAUGACGUUUUGUCAAUGAUGGACCACAUAUGUAACGGUGGUCCCAUUAGAUAAUAAUGGAACUGAACAGUUCCUGCUGCCUAAUGACACUGAGGCCACCAUAACAUCAUGGUGCAAGACAUUCCUUAUGUGUUUGUGGUGAUGCCGGUGGAAACAAACCUACUGUGCUGCCAGUUGUACAAAUGUCUAGGCCAUACAAUUAUGUACAGUGCGUAAUACUUGAACAUAAUAACAAAUGACUAUGCUACUAGUUUGUGUGUUUACUAUAUUAUAUUUUUAUCAUUAUUUUAGAGUGUACUCCUUCUAUUUAUUUUUAAGGAAAAGUUAACUGUGAAACAGCGUCAAGCAGGUCUUUAAGAGGUUUUCCAGAAGAAGGCAUUGUUAUCUUAGGAGAUGACAGCUCCAUGCAUGUUAUUGCCCCAAAGACCUUCCCGUGAGAUAAGAUGUGGGGGUGGAAGACAGUAAUAUUGAUGAUCCUGACCCUGUGUAGGCCUAGGCUAAUGUGUGUGUUUAUGUGUUAGCUUUUAGCAAAAAUGUUUAAGAUGUAAAAAAUAAAUAAAACUUUUUAAAAGGAGAAAAAAAGCUUACAGAUUAAGGAUAUAAAAAAGAGAAUAUUUUUGUACGGCUGUACAAUCUGUCUUUUAGGUUAAGUGUUAUAAGAAAAAAAGUCAGAAGUUAAAAGAUUUUUAAAUUUAUAAAAUAAAAAAGUUACAA
ensembl:lncRNA LMCD1-AS1 LMCD1 antisense RNA 1